UACGUAGGGCGCAAGCGUUAUCCGGAUUUAUUGGGCGUAAAGAGCGUGUAGGCGGUCAGGUAGGUCGGUUGUGAAAACUGGAGGCUCAACCUUCAGAGGUCGACCGAAACCCCCUGGCUAGAGUCCGGGAGAGGAGAGUGGAAUUCCUGGUGUAGCGGUGAAAUGCGCAGAUAUCAGGAAGAACACCCGUGGCGAAAGCGGCUCUCUGGAACGGUACUGACGCUGAGACGCGAAAGCGUGGGGAGCGAACAGG
rnacentral:rRNA from 1 species